CAGUCGCCGCGGUAAUACGUAGGUGGCAAGCGUUGUCCGGAUUUAUUGGGCGUAAAGCGAGCGCAGGCGGUUUCUUAAGUCUGAUGUGAAAGCCCCCGGCUCAACCGGGGAGGGUCAUUGGAAACUGGGAGACUUGAGUGCAGAAGAGGAGAGUGGAAUUCCAUGUGUAGCGGUGAAAUGCGUAGAUAUAUGGAGGAACACCAGUGGCGAAGGCGGCUCUCUGGUCUGUAACUGACGCUGAGGCUCGAAAGCGUGGGGAGCGAACAGGAUUAGAUACCCCAGUAGUCCCUGUCUCUUAUAC
rnacentral:rRNA from 1 species